rnacentral:rRNA from 1 species
ACCGAGGGUGCGAGCGUUAAUCGGAAUUACUGGGCGUAAAGCGCACGUAGGUGGUUUUGUAAGUCGGAUGUGAAAUCCUCGGGCUCAACCUGGGAACUGCAUUUGUGACUGCAUCGCUGGAGUACGGCAGAGGGGGAUGGAAUUCCGCGUGUAGCAGUGAAAUGCGUAGAUAUGCGGAGGAACACCGAUGGCGAAGGCAAUCCCCUGGGCCUGUACUGACGCUCAUGCACGAAAGCGUGGGGAGCAAACAGGA